GAUGAACGCUGGCGGCGUGCCUAAUACAUGCAAGUCGAGCGAACGGAUAAGGAGCUUGCUCCUUUGACGUUAGCGGCGGACGGGUGAGUAACACGUGGGUAACCUACCUAUAACACUGGAAUAACUCCGGGAAACCGGGGCUAAUGCCGGAUAACAUUUAGAACCGCAUGGUUCUAAAGUGAAAGAUGGUUUUGCUAUCACUUAUAGAUGGACCCGCGCCGUAUUAGCUAGUUGGUAAGGUAACGGCUUACCAAGGCAACGAUACGUAGCCGACCUGAGAGGGUGAUCGGCCACACUGGAACUGAGACACGGUCCAGACUCCUACGGGAGGCAGCAGUAGGGAAUCUUCCGCAAUGGGCGAAAGCCUGACGGAGCAACGCCGCGUGAGUGAUGAAGGUCUUCGGAUCGUAAAACUCUGUUAUUAGGGAAGAACAAAUGUGUAAGUAACUGUGCACGUCUUGACGGUACCUAAUCAGAAAGCCACGGCUAACUACGUG
rnacentral:rRNA from 1 species